GGACGAACGCUGGCGGCGUGCCUAACACAUGCAAGUCGAGCGGAGUCGAUCGACGGAAGCCUUCGGGCGGAAGAUGGUUGACUUAGCGGCGGAUGGGUGAGUAACGCGUGGGCAACCUGCCUCGAAGACCGGGAUAACAGCCCGAAAGGGCUGCUAAUACCGGAUGUGGUCAAAGAUCCGCAUGGAUUUUUGAUUAAAGGGGAAACCCGUUUCGAGAUGGGCCCGCGUCCUAUCAGCUAGUUGGUGAGGUAAAAGCUCACCAAGGCGACGACGGGUAGCCGGCCUGAGAGGGUGACCGGCCACACUGGAACUGAGACACGGUCCAGACUCCUACGGGGGGCAGCAGUGGGGAAUCUUCCACAAUGGGCGAAAGCCUGAUGGAGCGACGCCGCGUGAGCGAAGAAGGCCUUCGGGUUGUAAAGCUCUGUCUGGAGGGACGAAGGAAGUGACGGUACCUCCGGAGGAAGCCACGGCUAACUACGUGCCAGCAGCCGCGGUAAUACGUAGGGGGCGAGCGUUGUCCGGAAUUACUGGGCGUAAAGGGUACGCAGGCGGUCAUGUAAGUCAGAUGUGAAAUCCUAAGGCUUAACCUUAGUAAGCAUUUGAAACUGCGUGGCUUGAGUUAAGGAGAGGAAAGUGGAAUUCCUGGUGUAGCGGUGAAAUGCGUAGAUAUCAGGAGGAAUACCAGUGGCGAAGGCGACUUUCUGGCCUUAAACUGACGCUGAGGUACGAAAGCGUGGGGAGCAAACAGGAUUAGAUACCCUGGUAGUCCACGCUGUAAACGAUGAGUGCUAGGUGUCGGGUGUCAAAGCUCGGUGCCGCAGUAAACACAUUAAGCACUCCGCCUGGGGAGUACGUUCGCAAGAAUGAAACUCAAAGGAAUUGACGGGGACCCGCACAAGCAGCGGAGCAUGUGGUUUAAUUCGAAGCAACGCGAAGAACCUUACCAGGGCUUGACAUCCCUCUGACCGCUCUAGAGAUAGAGUUUUCUCUUCGGAGACAGAGGAGACAGGUGGUGCAUGGUUGUCGUCAGCUCGUGUCGUGAGAUGUUGGGUUAAGUCCCGCAACGAGCGCAACCCUCGUCCUAUGUUGCCAGCGAGUCAUGUCGGGGACUCAUAGGAGACCGCCGGGGUCAACUCGGAGGAAGGUGGGGAUGACGUCAAGUCAUCAUGCCCCUUAUGUCUAGGGCUGCACACAUGCUACAAUGGCCGGUACAAAGGGCUGCGAUACCGCGAGGUGGAGCGAAUCCCAUAAAGCCGGUCUCAGUUCGGAUUGGGGUCUGCAACUCGACCCCAUGAAGUCGGAGUCGCUAGUAAUCCCAGAUCAGCAACGCUGGGGUGAAUACGUUCCCGGGCCU
rnacentral:rRNA from 1 species